UAAGGGCAACGAAAGAAAGUGCAUUUGUUUGAUGAUAAACAAAGAUAUGUAUAUGUAUACAAAGAAGCUAAGCUAAUUAAGGUAUUGCAUUGGUUGGAUUUCUGGGCAAUUACUCCAUUGGCAGUUGCCACCUUCCUUUUAAAACACACACACACUGACACAUACAUAUAUAUAUUAUAUAUUAUGUGAAAUCAUAUUGCCAAAUUUAAGGCAAUAACAAAAUCGCUACUGCCAAAGGAGAUUUGCCCGGUAAUGCUCCCAACGCCACUAAAGAUCGAUGAAUGGGAAGAAGCUGGGACACUAACAUUUUGGUUGCUUUCUUUUUAAUUUAUAGAGACGAAAGUAAGUGCCUUCAUGGGUUUAUAUAUAUAUAUAUAUAUAUAUAUAUGAUGAUGAUGAUGAUCUUCUAGCCAAGAAGUAGUUCAAAAAAUAAGUAUGAGGAGGAAGAUGAGAU